ACUCGAUAAAAAGUAAAAAAUGGCCCCAAAGUCAAAUAUCUUUGUCGAACAUGGCAAAAUUUUUAAAUAUUUCAUCUUCAGGACAAAGUUAUCCAAACUUCAAGUUCAUUUUUGGAUUCACAAAUAUAAAGAGGACCCUCUCUUGUUUCACAGGAACUCUUGGAGAUAGUAAAAUCUCUGGAGAAAGAUAAUUUUAGUGGGGAGAAAACAAGAUUAAAGCCGAUUAAUGAAAGUUCCAAAUCCGUUGAACUUUUACGGCUUGAAAUAGAGCGUUUGAAAGAAGUCAACAAUCAACUUCAAGCCUCACUGGAACUGAAAGACAAAGACUUUAUGAUGGCAAAUGAAAAGUACAAAGAGAUUAUAAAAGAAAAUGAUCACAAACUGCAGCAAUUCGGGGGCCAACUAAAAAAAGAUCAGGAAACAUCGACGGAAAGCUUGACAAUUGAAAAAGUAUGUACUUGAGUAGCCUAUUCUCAUCUGAGAGUAGCUUCAUUUCUUAUGACAAUUUUGGUCAGCAUGGCGAAAUUUAAAAAUUCUGACUCGCUAAACCAGACUAACUUUUAUCUCUUUUGCUCAUCUUUGAUUCAGCUGAACUCUUGAGCUGAGGAACAAAUUUAUAGUAAAGCUAUAAUGAGAAAAAGAAAAAAAACAGAUUUUUUUCGGAGGUUUUUAUGUAAUGUUUGCAAUCAUUUAAAAUGAUUAAUCGGCAUCAUAAUCAGCAAAAUUGAUGAAAUCUGGAUUUUAUAAUCCAUCAGAACUCUGCGUUAGGUUAAGCAGUUGGAUUCUCACAAGAUUAAAGUCUAUAUUUAGGAGCAUAUUUUUGGACGAUUGGAGCAAAAGUAUGAAUAAUUUUCAUUUUUUAAGUUGACCAUGCAGAAAUUAGAGGAACAAUAUAUUAUGUGAUAGUGCAAACAACACUCUCUUAUCAAGAAAGUUAACAUGCUUUUCAAUACCUCAAAGGAAGAAAUACUGACGAUUCCCGAAAAAUGAGUCACAAGAUGAUCAAUCAGAAACCAAAUUUUGGUAAUCGCAGACCAAUAAAUGAUCCAAUUGAUGUUUUGCCAGCUUUUUUAUUGUCAAUAACUUUAUAGACAUGCUAUUCUUCAUGGAGAUUAAUUUAUCUUUAGUUGUUUGCUUUUGACAUGCGUGUAAUUGUAACUGUCACCUGCAUCAUUUGGGUUUUUGUAGCAAUCAAGCACUGAAAACUUCUCGGAGAUUAUGAAGCUGUUUUGAGGGAACAGUUGAGCGCAGAAUUGAUCACAAUGAAAGAAGAAAUGGCAACUGUACAAUCACAACUAACUCUUGCUGAGCAGGUAUAGUUUGCCCUCAAUUCUGAUUUAAGCAUUCAUUACGUAGUCGUCAACCUUGUAAUGUACAAAGCUGUUGCAUUAUAUGUCCCCACAGAUUUCCUGCCGGUUACAUCUAUCCUGAAAGUUG
rnacentral:lncRNA from 1 species